rnacentral:lncRNA from 1 species
GUAACUUUCACAGUAUGACAGCAGAUUUGAGUAGUUAUGACACAGAUCAUAUGGACCACAAAGGCUGAAGUUUAAUAUCUGGCCUUUUACAAAAAAAUGAUAUUUGAGACUGACUUGAAAAAAUUGUAAUAAGGGUAUUGCAAACAGGAGAUAGUUUGGGUAGAGGCAGUGAUGUAAGACAAUUCUGGGUGUGUUUGUUCAUGGAAAGGAAAUUAAAGUAAAAUCUAUAAUACACAUUGGUAGUAUCCUUAAAAAAUUAACUGUGUAAAAUGUGGCAUUUUUGUUUUUUUAGAAAUUAAUGGAAGGACCAAGACUGGGCUAUUCAGCUAGCUUGCCAGGGUUCUGGUUAAACAGCUCAAAUUUGUUUAGGUCCUGGCUGCAGUUUGGCAACACCUGGUGUCUAUCAAAAGUCUUCCAGGACAGAAAUAGUAACUAUAAGAAUAUCCCAAUACUUGGCACAUGUUUCAUUGGACAGAGCCAGGGAGAUCGGAUAGGACUGGCAACAAGGAAUAUGGCCUGCAGCUUUCUGCUUCCCAAAAUUGGAUUGCUACUUACUCUCCAAUCAGGCCAAUAUUCUCCUUCACAUCUUGCCUCUUUCCUGGCCCAAGGUAUAUUGGCACAUCUGAUUAAUGAAGAUCCCAGUUUGCUGAAUCCUAAUUACUGAAUCUAGAAAUCAUUUCCUAUACACAUGCACUAUAUGGCUCUGUAACCCUCUGGUGAAAAGGCAUCUCCUGAACGUGGAUGUGUGUGGUAGUUGGUAAGAUUGUAUUCUUAUAUUCACCUACUGCUCUCUUCUCUGGGAUGUUAACUAUUUUAAUUGUUUUUAAUGAAUACCACAUGAGAUACACUAAAAGUACAUUAG